rnacentral:rRNA from 1 species
GACGAACGCUGGCGGCGUGCUUAACACAUGCAAGUCGAACGAAGAGCGAUGGAAGCUUGCUUCUAUCAAUCUUAGUGGCGAACGGGUGAGUAACGCGUAAUCAACCUGCCCUUCAGAGGGGGACAACAGUUGGAAACGACUGCUAAUACCGCAUACGAUCUAAUCUCGGCAUCGAGGAAAGAUGAAAGGUGGCCUCUAUUUAUAAGCUAUCACUGAAGGAGGGGAUUGCGUCUGAUUAGCUAGUUGGAGGGGUAACGGCCCACCAAGGCGAUGAUCAGUAGCCGGUCUGAGAGGAUGAACGGCCACAUUGGGACUGAGACACGGCCCAGACUCCUACGGGAGGCAGCAGUGGGGAAUCUUCCGCAAUGGACGAAAGUCUGACGGAGCAACGCCGCGUGAGUGAUGACGGCCGUCGGGUUGUAAAGCUCUGUUAAUCGGGACGAAAGGCCUUCUUGCGAACAGUUAGAAGGAUUGACGGUACCGGAAUAGAAAGCCACGGCUAACUACGUG